rnacentral:rRNA from 1 species
GACGAACGCUGGCGGCGUGCUUAACACAUGCAAGUCGAACGGAAAGACCCUGCUUUUGUGGGGUGCUCGAGUGGCGAACGGGUGAGUAACAUGUGAGUAACCUGCCCUUGACUUUGGGAUAACUUCAGGAAACUGGGGCUAAUACCGGAUAGGAGCUCCUGCUGCAUGGUGGGGGUUGGAUAGUUUCGGCGGAUGGGGAUGGACUCGCGGCUUAUCAGCUUGUUGGUGGGGUUGUGGCUUACCAAGGCGUUGACGGAUAGCCGGCCUGAGAGGGUGACCGGCCACAUUGGGACUGAGAUACGGCCCAGACGCCGACGGGAGGCAGCAGUGGGGAAUAUUGCACAAUGGGCGGAAGCCUGAGGCAGCAACGCCGCGUGCGGGAUGACGGCCUUCGGGUUGUAAACCGCUUUCGCCUGUGACGAAGCGUGAGUGACGGUAAUGGGUAAAGAAGCACCGGCUAACUACGUG